AUCAUUACAGAAUUACCGGCAAGGGUUGUAGCUGGCCUUUCGGGGCACGUGCACACCCGAGCCCUUAAUCCACACACACCUGUGAACUUACUGUAAGGGCCCUUGACGGGGGCCCCUACGUCUCAUUCAUAUACCAAGUCUUAUAGAAUGUAAACAUAUGUCCUCGCCUUAACAAAGCGUCGAUAAACCUAUACAACUUUCAACAACGGAUCUCUUGGCUCUCGCAUCGAUGAAGAACGCAGCGAAAUGCGAUAAGUAAUGUGAAUUGCAGAUUUUCAGUGAAUCAUCGAAUCUUUGAACGCACCUUGCGCUCCUUGGUAUUCCGAGGAGCAUGCCUGUUUGAGUGUCAUUAAAUUCUCAACCCCGAUUGACUUGUUUUGACCGGGGCUUGGACUUGGAGCGUGCUGGCAAAAGUCGGCUCCUCUCAAAUGCAUCGGCGGAAUUCAAUCCUUGGUUUCCGGAUGUCAGUGUGAUAAUCAUGUUGCGCUGUCCUUCGAGCCAUAGGGUCCGCUUACAAUGGUCUUCGGACAAAAUCUUUAUGAAAUUUGACCUCAAAUCAGGUAGGACUACCCGCUGAACUUAAG
rnacentral:rRNA from 1 species